GAACUUCCUUCGGAGAGAGCCUAACCUUUCUACCAGGUCCCAUGCUCCGGACAGGACACAGUGAGCUCAAGAAACCACCAAACACAGAGCAAAAACAAGGAUUUGAGGCACAGUUCCACACUUUCUAGCUAUGAGAGCUUGGCCAAGCUACUUAAUUCUCCAGCCUUAUAUUUUCUCGGCUAAAAAUAUAUGGGGCAAGUCUUGUGAAGAUGCAAUGAGAUAAUGGAUGGGAAAGCCCUUUGUGAAGUGUAAAGCAACACACAAAUGCAGAAAUAACAACUAACAGAAGGCUCCCAACUGGAGGAUCAUGUGGAAAAAUGGAAGAACUGAGACUAUCUUCUGGCCAUGAACAGAAGGAGAAAAGGAUGCUGAGGACACACUUCAAAAUCUGCAUAUCCUCUGUUCCUCUGCUUCUCUAAAAAUUGCAGGAAUAGGUGAAAUUGAGCCUGUCUGUUUUCUGUAAUUAGUACUUCAUUUUUGUUUUGUAUUCUGUGCUGUUCACAUUAUCCUGUCUUCCUUUGUGUCUAACACGGCAUCUCCUAUAAUCUCCCUGCUUUCGCAAAGUAUUAUGAUUGUUUGCUUAUUGUUCUG
rnacentral:lncRNA from 1 species